AUCUUGGCCAUACCACCCUGAAUGUGUCUGAAUCUUGUCUGAUCUUGGAGGCUAAGCAGGGUCAGUCCUGGUUAGUAUUGGAUGGGAGAAAAAGCAUGCUCAUGAAAAAUAUCCAUGUACACCAAAGACA
rnacentral:rRNA from 1 species